GCCAGCCCGCUCCAGAAACUACAAAGGAAUUGACGGGGGAGCACCACCAGGGGUGAAGCUUGCGGUUUAAUUGGAGUCAACACCGGAAACCUUACCGGGAGCGACAGCAGAGUGAAGGCCAGAUUGAGGGUCUUGCCAGACAAGCUGAGAGGAGGUGCAUGGCCGUCGCCAGUUCGUGCCGUGAGGUGUCCUGUUAAGUCAGGCAACGAUCGAGACCCACGUCCCCUGUUGCCACUGAGGAAAACUUCCAAUGGGCACUCUGGGGGGACUGCCGCUGAUAAAGCGGAGGAAGGAGUGGGCCACGGCAGGUCAGUAUGCCCCGAAUCUCCCGGGCCACACGCGAGCUGCAAUGGUAGGGACAAUGGGUUCCGACCCCGAAAGGGGAAGGUAAUCCUCAAACCCUGCCUCAGUUGGGAUCGAGGGCUGUAACCCGCCCUCGUGAACAUGGAAUCCCUAGUAAUCGCGCGUCAUCAGCGCGCGGUGAAUACGUCCCUGCUCCUU
rnacentral:rRNA from 1 species